AAAAAGGCUUGUCACUAUAUCGAACGACGUUAGUGCGAUUAUUACCACGGAACCAUCGUCACUAAAUUAGAACAAUGUACCAAAUAAUAUAAUAUAAUUCGAGUUGUGGCUCAAUAGUCGAAGGUUAGUCUAAUUUAAUAUUAUACUCGUAUUAUACAUGCGUACCUAAAAUGAUAAAUACAACACGAUUUAGACAAUGCGAAAUCACUAAACGGUGCGGUGUCGACAUUGGUGUAAGAAAUCUCGAAUAUUUCGAUACGUGAUAUAAUCAAUCACGGUGAUGUUGGCUGAUAGUGCAUAUUUGUUUAAACAAAAUUAGUUUG